rnacentral:misc_RNA from 1 species
GGACUACAGGGGUUUCUAAUCCUGUUUGCUCCCCACGCUUUCGUGCCUCAGCGUCAAUACAGAUCCAGCCAGCUGCCUUCGCAAUCGAUGUUCUAUGACAUAUCUAUGCAUUUCACCGCUACAUGUCACAUUCCGCCAACCUCAAUCUGAUUCAAGCCAAACAGUAUCAAAGGCAAUCUCCCGGUUGAGCCGGAAACUUUCACCUCUGACUUAUCUGGCCGCCUACGCACCCUUUAAACCCAGUGAUUCCGGAUAACGCUUGCACCCUCCGUAUUACCGCGGCUGCUGGCACC